rnacentral:rRNA from 1 species
AUGUGACAGGGAGGGUUGGAAUUUAAACCUCUUCCAGAGUAUUCUCCUGGAGGGCAAGUCUGGUGCCAGCAGCCGCGGUAAUUCCAGCUCCUACAGCGUAUAUUAAAAUUGUUGCAGUUAAAAAGCUCGUAGUUGAAUUUCUGCUGUAUUGCAUUUUCUCUUUUUAUAUGAGUUUUUGCAUUAUGGCUUAUUUCAGUAUUAAUUUUUUAUUAUUACUGAAUGUUUACUUUGAGAAAAUUAGAGUGCUCAAAGCAGGCUUUUGCCUUGAAUAGUUUAGCAUGGAAUAAUAAAGUAGGACUUUGGUUCUAUUUUGUUGGUUUUAGGUACCAAAGUAAUGGUUAAUAGGAACAGUUGGGGGCAUUCGUAUUUAACUGUCAGAAGGUGAAAUUCUUAGAC